AGACGGAGUAUUGUAGGACGGUUAGGCCUCUUGUCGUUGGACGACAAAGGCGGUGCAGAUCCCCUGCUCCAGGGCGGGCUGCUUUUUUCCGCGCCACCUUCGCGCUUACUUGAGGCUUUAUGGCUUAUGGACUUCAGGAUGAUAAACACAUGAAAAUCUCAGACAUGAUUCUGCACUGCAGGCUGCAUAUUGUGUCGGUGGGCAUUCAGGAAACUGGCAAGUUAUUCAGAACUCAAUUCUUGGAUGUUACUUGCGUCGUCCUACUCUGAAUCGGCAUCAUGGAGCUCCAUACAUCCACAUGCUCUUCGUCAGCCAGAGCCCAUUGCCCAGUUUAGUCUUUCCCCCGGAUCAUUUUCAGAUCCACCUUUAAGUUAUACAACCAAUGGUAACGUUUCAACU